rnacentral:misc_RNA from 1 species
GAAAUGCGAUAAGUAAUGUGAAUUGCAGAAUUCAGUGAAUCAUCGAAUCUUUGAACGCACCUUGCGCUCCUUGGUAUUCCUUGGAGCAUGCCUGUUUGAGUAUCAUGAAAUCUUCAAAGUAAAUCUUUUGUUAACUCAAUUGGUUUCUACUUUGGUAUUGGAGGUCUUUGCAGCUUCACACCUGCUCCUCUUUGUUCAUUAGCUGGAUCUCAGUGUUAUGCUUGGUUCCACUCGGCGUGAUAAGUUAUCGCUGUAAAGGAACCUAUGAGGGUGUGGCUUGCUUCUAAUCGUCUUAGGACAGCUUUGACAUUUACACCUCAACUCGGGUAGGACUACCCGCUGAACUUAAGC